rnacentral:sRNA from 1 species
AGCAGCCGCGGUAAUUCCAGCUCCAAUAGCGUAUAUUAAAGUUGUUGCAGUUAAAAAGCUCGUAGUUGAAUUUCGGGGUCAGUAGGUUGGUCAUGCCUUUGGUAUGUACUGGUCUCACUGAUUCCUCCCUCUUGAAGAACUGUAAUGUCAUUAAUUUGGUGUUGCGGGGAAUCAGGACUGUUACUUUGAAAAAAUUAGAGUGUUUAAAGCAGGCUUACGCUUGAAUACAUUAGCAUGGAAUAAUGAAAUAGGACGUUUGAUCCUAUUUUGUUGGUUUCUAGGAUUGACGUAAUGAUUAAUAGGGAUAGUUGGGGGCAUUAGUAUUCAAUUGUCAGAGGUGAAAUUCUUGGAUUUAUUGAAGACUAACUACUGCGAAAGCAUUUGCCAAGGAUGUUUUCAUUAAUCAAGAACGAAAGUUAGGGGAUCGAAGACGAUCAGAUACCGUCGUAGUCUUAACCAUAAACUAUGCCGACUAGGGAUCGGAUGAUGUUAAUUUUUUAAUGACUCAUUCGGCGCCUUA